GCAAAACGCGAAGAACCUUACCUACUCUUGACAUCCAGAGAACUUAGCAGAGAUGCUUUGGUGCCUUCGGGAACUCUGAGACAGGUGCUGCAUGGCUGUCGUCAGCUCGUGUUGUGAAAUGUUGGGUUAAGUCCCGCAACGAGCGCAACCCUUAUCCUUUGUUGCCAGCGAUUCGGUCGGGAACUCAAAGGAGACUGCCAGUGAUAAACUGGAGGAAGGUGGGGAUGACGUCAAGUCAUCAUGGCCCUUACGAGUAGAGCUACACACGUGCUACAAUGGCAUAUACAAAGAGAAGCGACCUCGCGAGAGCAAGCGGACCUCAUAAAGUAUGUCGUAGUCCGGAUUGGAGUCUGCAACUCGACUCCAUGAAGUCGGAAUCGCUAGUAAUCGUGGAUCAGAAUGCCACGGUGAAUACGUUCCCGGGUCUUGUACACACCG
rnacentral:rRNA from 1 species